rnacentral:rRNA from 1 species
CCUACGGGAGGCAGCAGCUGGGGAUCUUGCGCAAUGGGCGAAAGCCUGACGCAGCGACGCCGCGUGGGGGAAGAAGGCCUUCGGGUUGUAAACCCCUUUUGCCGGGGAAGAAGUACUGACGGUACCCGGCGAAGAAGCCACGGCUAACUACGUGCCAGCAGCCGCGGUAAUACGUAGGUGGCGAGCGUUGUCCGGAUUUACUGGGCGUAAAGAGGGUGCAGGCGGCCGGUUAAGUCCGCGGUGAAAUCUUUCGGCUCAACCGGGAGGGGCCCGCGGAUACUGGUCGGCGCGAGGGGGGCAGAGGAAGGUGGAAUUCCCGGUGUAGGGGUGAAAUGCGUAGAUAUCGGGAGGAACACCAGUGGCGAGGGCGGCCUUCGGGGCCUUCCCUGACGC